CAGGAUCAUGUGUGUCCAGCUCUGUGUCUCUGAAGAGUGACCGGUCAAAAGAAGAGUAUCCACCAGACUUCAGUGAGAAAACACCAUCAUCUGCACAAAGUGUGAGAUCAGGAUCAUGUGUGUCCAGCUCUGUGUCUCUGAAGAGUGACCGGUCACGACAAGAUUAUCCACCAAACUUCAGAGAGGAAACACCAUCAUCUGCUGAAAGUGUUGAAUAUGAGUCAGCAGAUUCAGGAGACAAG